UAUUUAUUUAGAUAAGUCGGUACAGAUUUCGAAAUGAAUGGUGUGCUUGGAAAUUUUGCAAGGUUAAGCCAUUUUAACUACGAUCAAAACGGAAAGGACUGGAAUGUAAACACUGGCAGACAACAAACGCCUGUUUCUCUAGUUACAGCCAAGCGGUCAGGUCAACGGCGUCAGAGUUAAUCUUCAUUAACUACAACAAGCUCUUGUCCCGUUUCCUAAAACUAACCAACAAUGGGCAUACCCUGAAGAUGUCAAUACCCUGCGCAGAAGACUGUAGUCAACCAGCGGUUUGCGGAUGUAAGCUCAAAAGUAUCUACAAGGCUGUGCAGCUUCAUUUUCAUUGGGGUUCGCCAGAGAAGAAGGGGUCUGAACAUUCGAUAAACUGCACGCGAUAUGAUGCUGAACUGCAUAUUCUUCAUUAAGGAGAAUGCUGUGUGCUCCCCGGAUGGGUUUGCUGUACUGGCAAUAAUGGUCAAUAUUGUUGAGAUAAGUCUGUCUUCAAUGUGUAUAUUUAUUACUCCUAGUACUACUAGGUCUGUUUAUGUUUAUUGUAAAUUAUACGUACAGUCAAAGGCCUUGGUGUUCUUUUCGGGGCCUCAAUUGAUAUCACUAUAAUUAAUGGGACCCAGAAUGAACUCCGAUUCAUAAAGUGCUGCAAU